rnacentral:rRNA from 1 species
GACGAACGCUGGCGGCGUGCUUAACACAUGCAAGUCGAACGAUGAACCCGGAGCUUGCUCUGGGGGAUUAGUGGCGAACGGGUGAGUAACACGUGAGUAACCUGCCCUGGACUCUGGGAUAAGCGUUGGAAACGACGUCUAAUACCGGAUAGGACCUUGGAUCGCAUGAUCUGGGGUGGAAAGUUUUUUCGGUCUGGGAUGGACUCGCGGCCUAUCAGCUUGUUGGUGAGGUAAUGGCUCACCAAGGCGUCGACGGGUAGCCGGCCUGAGAGGGUGACCGGCCACACUGGGACUGAGACACGGACCAGACUCCUACGGGAGGCAGCAGUGGGGAAUAUGGCACAAUGGGCGAAAGCCUGAUGCAGCAACGCCGCGUGCGGGAUGACGGCCUUCGGGUUGUAAACCGCUUUUAGUAGGGAAGAAGGGCUUCGGCUUGACGGUACCUGCAGAAAAAGGACCGGCUAACUACGUG